CCUCUACUUUGCAUGCAUGCCAAACUCUGUAGAAGAGAGGGAUGAACAUCUUCUUCGGAGAAGAAGGAGAAGUAUCCUUGAGAUCUGAUCUCAAGGUUUUAGAGCAACCUACAUGCCACCAUGCCAAGAGGAGGGAGGAUGGCCUAGAAGAGAGAUAAGCCCAAAGAGAGUACACACCGAAAAAAGAGGGGACGCCCACACCA
rnacentral:lncRNA from 1 species